GCCAUGGCGGGCCGGGGCGGGCCUUGAGCGAGCUGAGCCAGUUGGGGCAGGGAUCGGAGUGCGACCAUGGGACAGAAGUCCCCUGGAUCAUAGGUGCUUUUGGAAGAGAGGGGUGGCCUGAGUUCGGGACAUUUGGGAGUGUCGACUUGUUACUAUUGCAGCACCUGACCUCCAGUCAAGAUUUAAGGAAGUAAACUCCACCACAGGACAGCAAAGAAGGAGUUGAUGGACAGAACUUUGGGAGGGACUACAGGGUUAAAAGGCAAAACCUCUACUGUGUAGUCUUCACCUUAUAGUGAAAUGACCAGAUGUCUCAGAAAGCCUCAAGCUAUGCUGGCAUCAGGAGCAUUUGCCCCCAUCCUGAGUGACUGCAGACUGAAAUGCCAAUAUGUUCUGAGAAGUUCACAUUUUUUAAAAUUCUAAUGGCAAGAAAAUUACAUUGGAGAAAUAACCAGAUCAGAUGUCUAAAUACCUUUGAAUGUACAAGGAUCAGCCAUGGUGGAAGAAGGUAGAAGACCAUUCCUCAGCAGCCAUCUGGACAGAUCAUCACACUUUUUGUCUUCUACUUAGGAUGGCUAUGUGUCACCUCCUCCUCUCAUCUCAAACAUUGGAUCCAAACAUCUAACAUCCACACUUGAGAAAUCUUUGCAAGCUGUGUCUUCAGACACCAUGGGCAACCCUGUGGUGAGACCCCUCAGUUCGGCCAGGGCGUGCGGACAUGUAGCUAUGUUCCCCAUCUGCACACAUGAGGAAAUCCUCCAUGUUCAGUAAAAAGACCAUAAAACUGUUUCUCUAUGUAACUCCUUUCCAUAUAAAUGCUUACCUCUGAAAUACCAGUACCGGCAAGGCCAUCUCUGGGAAAAAGCCUGAGAACAGCCAGAAAGUCCAAGCUUGGAUAUUAGAGGCGGUUGGUGUUGAGGAAUACAUCUAGUGCAGGAUAUGCUGCCGCAAUGCAGUGCAAGUUGCAGGUUGUGCUUUGUGUGUGGGGAAAGGACUGGAGCUUCCAGCAAGAGCAGUGAUCGGGCACUGACCCUUUGCACAACAAGGUGCAUGGGAACCUGUGGCACCAGCCAGGUAAGCAGCCACUCUGAGAUACAACGGGAGCCAGUGGCUCAGCAGGAAGACCCCACACCCCUGAGGGCAUGGACUGUGGAUACAAAAUGGGUUUCUUGGUUCAGGGUCUGUUCUUGGCAGCACCCAGCUUGAUCUCAAGCUAGUUUUGUGUGACCCUGCCAUGAAUAAAGUACUUACAAAAAUCA